GACGAGCUCUCCAAACGUUAUUCGGUAUCACUGGGCUUAAAGAGUUCGUAGGCGGUCUGGUAGGUGAGGUGUGAAAUCCCCCGGCUCAACCGGGGAACUGCGCUUCAAACCGCCGGACUUGAGGGAGACAGAGGUGGGCGGAACAGAUGGUGGAGCGGUGAAAUGCGUUGAUAUCAUGUAGAACACCGAUUGCGAAGGCAGCUCACUAAGCAGCGAUUGACGCUGAGGCACGAAAGCGUGGGGAUCAAACAGG
rnacentral:rRNA from 1 species